CAAUGACUUUAGCACGUUCACUCAUGUUGAUUUUCCUCCGAAGCUUUACUUCAUGGCAAAGCUGGUACAAAGCUGGAACUCUAAAAGAAAUAUGUAUUUGUAUGAUAAGGGAAGCACAGCACUAGCAUUCAGGGAUUGAAGAGCAUCCACUGAGAAUAUUCUAGUUAUCUGUGACUCUUCCUAACUGGACGAGUGGCUCCCUUGGGAGCCACGGACUCAAGUGUUUGGGUUUCUGACUGGAGCUGUGGAUUCUGAUUUGACCCAGAUUGUCUUCUGGCGGAUCCAACCUGAGUCUCUGGGUGGAGGAAUUCAGAGAGAGGGCAGAACACCUGUUCCAAAGAACACGGGGAUGAGCAGUGGAUCCUCCUUUCAAUCUCUAAUCAUACACUGCACGCCUGCCUCCUCAUCUCUAUUUUAGAGGAAAGGUUUAAUAGCUACUCUUUCUAAUUUUUUCUUGGUGCAUGCCAAUUUGUAUUUUAUUCACUACCAAUUACAUGGCUGUCAAUAAGAAAAAAAUAUUUGCACUAUAAACACAUAAAGCACCUGCUCUGAUUGCCUCUGAAUAAAGGCCAAGGAGCCUGUUAAAACAAUCACUUGGGCGAUGUGCACAAAACCAUGUAAGUCAAUACCAUCGAUGUUUCCAGAACAAAGCAAGACAAGCAUAAAUAGUUUUCAGCUGGAACAGGCUUGAAUGUACAUCAAUGUAAAUGCUCAAAGGAAUAUUAUAGACUCAACAGCCGAAGGGAAGGUUAAUGGGGAUGAAAUGACUAUUUGUGUCAGAGUCACGGCAUGCCAGUUCUGGUUACCUCUUUUCUAAUACGUGUGCCACCACACGUGGCACAACCGACCAGGAUAAAUAUCAGGUCCACUGCCAUUUUCUGUGUGAGAUACGACACUCCUUUUGAGUUUACUGUAUUAUCUAACAUGUAAUUUCCUUUGCAGACAUUAUUCACAAGUCAUCACAGGAAAGAUCUGCAUUUUAAUGCUCAAUUGUAGUUUUGCUAAUUUGUUUCACCAAUUAUGUCUUUCUUACAUUUUCCUCCUGGACACAGUAUUUGAAAACUCAUGAAAAAAUGCAUACUUCAUUUUUUACUCCAAGGCAUUCUAGUCAGAAAAUAAUAAACUGAUAUGCUUUAGAGUGACCUUUGCAGUUCUUAAUUUUCAUGCAAGGCUACAAAAUAAGCCUAGUCCGUGUGAUACCACUGGGUAAGGUUACUCUAUUUUUGGUAUGGUAAA